CUCUUAUCCAAGGAUCACACUUUAAGAACAUUGCUAAAGAAAACCCAGUGAUGUUUUGACAACAGGAAGUUAUGAAAGUUGGAUUCAAGAACUUCUAGAUGACUCCCAAUGAACAAACCCAAGAAUUAUGGGUGCAAAGCAAGGGCAAGAAAAGGAAACUAAAGAAUACCUCAACUCCCAAGCAAAAGGGGAAAUCUAUGAAUCAAUCUAAUGAAAGAAGCAC